rnacentral:rRNA from 1 species
UACGUAGGGUCCAAGCGUUGUCCGGAUUUAUUGGGCGUAAAGAGCUCGUAGGCGGUUCGGUAAGUCGGAUGUGAAAACUCAGGGCUCAACCCGGAGACGCCAUCCGAUACUGCUGUGACUUGAGUCUGGUAGGGGAACACGGAAUACCUGGUGUAGCGGUGAAAUGCGCAGAUAUCAGGUGGAACACCGAUGGCGAAGGCAGUGUUCUGGGCCGAUACUGACGCUGAGGAGCGAAAGCGUGGGUAGCAAACAGG